UUUGCAGUGCCUUGCUGUGUUUCCCGGUC
rnacentral:piRNA from 1 species